rnacentral:lncRNA from 1 species
CCAGAAAGGCAACCGCCGAGGACGAUGACUCAGAUGCUUUUGCUCUUGCUGUACGGCUGCGUGUUUCUUUUGGCCACAGAGUCCUGCAGGACGUUAUGCCAGGCUGCCAACAAGAGCAAGGAGCAGGUGUCUACCAGGCCACACGGUGAAUGCCAUGGCACUUGUGUGGACAAUUCCUACUGCAGCCAACCUUGCCCUCCAGACACUCCCGGGGAUAUGGGGUUUUUAUGCAGGCAAAAGAAAUGGCACAAAGUCACUGACACCUGUCGUACUCUCACUGCCUUCAACAUCUUCGAGGCAGAUUUAAAUUCGGUUCAAACAUUUGGAGGAUCAAAAAUAAGCGAAUAUACCCACAAGCCUGAGACUAUUACAGAUUUGUUAAUGGAAAAGUGUCCACAGGAUCUGUCCUGCGUGAUUCGGAACAUUCAGAAGUCUCCCCGGAUUCCGGGAAACAUUGCUGUGAUUGUGCAGCUCUUACACAACAUCUCCACUGUGCCAAUGACGGAUGUUGAUGAGGCAAAGAUGCAGAGUUACAGCAUCAUGGCCAACCACAUUCUAAAUAGCAAAAGCAUCUCAAACUGGACCUUCAUCCCGGAAAGAAACAGCAGCUGUGUCCUGCUACAUUCAAUAAAUUCCUUCGCAAGAAAGCUAUUUGUCAAUAAGCAUCCCAUUGACAUAGCAGAUACUUUCAUCCACACGGUGGGCACCAUCCUCUCUAGAGACAACGCCGGAAAGAAUUUCACCUUUUCAAUGAGAGUUAACGACACCAGCGACGUGGUCACGGGGAAGGUAUUGAUCAGUAGAGAGGAACUGCGGGAGGUGCCUUCUCCUUCUCGGGCCGUCAGCAUCGCAUUUCCAACUCUGGGGGCCAUCUUAGAAGCCAGUGUGUUGGAAAGCAUCACCGUGAAUGGGCUUGUCCUGUCUGUCAUUCUGCCCAAGGAACUUGAAAAAAUCUCACUGAUUUUUGAAAAGAUCAGCAAGUCAGAGGACAGGACGGCACAGUGUGCAGGCUGGCACUCCUUAGAGGGCAGAUGGGACCGCAAGGUCUGCCAGAUGAUUGAGGAGAACUCCCAGCAGGCGGUCUGCAAAUGUAGCCCGAGCAAGGCGUUUACCUCUUUCUCGAUUCUGAUGGCACCCCACGUCUUGCAGAGCCCCAUCCUGAUUUACAUCACGUACAUAGGCCUGGGUGUUUCUAUUUGCAGCUUGAUCCUCUGCUUGUCCAUCGAGGCCUUGGUCUGGGGCCAGGUGACGAAGACAGAGAUCUCAUACUUACGCCACGUGUGCAUUGCCAACAUUGCGACCACCUUACUGAUGGCUGAUGUGUGGUUCGUCGUGGCUUCCUUUCUCAGCGGUCCAACGAAGCACCACAGCGCAUGCGUGGCAGCAACCUUUUUUGUUCAUUUCUUUUACCUUUCUGUGUUUUUCUGGAUGCUCGCCAAGGCACUCCUCAUCCUCUACGGAAUCCUGAUAGUCUUCCAUACAUUGCCCAAGUCCGUCCUGGUGGCAGCUCUCUUUGCAGUGGGCUACGGGUGCCCUUUGCUCAUCGCUGCUAUCACGGUCGCUGCCACUGAGCCUGGCAAAGGUUAUCUCCGGCCUGAGGCCUGUUGGCUCAACUGGGACAUGACCAAGGCCCUUCUGGCUUUUGUGGUUCCGGCUCUGGCCAUCGUGGUUGUCAACCUGGUCACAGUCACACUGGUGAUUGUCAAGACCCGGCGAGUGGCCAUUGGCAGUUCCGUGUUCCAGGAAGUGAGGGCCAUCGUGAGGAUCAGUAAAAACAUUGCCAUCCUCACGCCACUGCUGGGACUGACCUGGGGAUUCGGCAUAGCCACGGUCCUCAAUGACGGCUCGCUGGCGUGCCACAUCAUCUUCUCCCUGCUCAACGCCUUCCAGGGCUUCUUCAUCCUGGUGUUUGGAACAAUCCUGGAUCCGAAGAACGUCUCUUCUGAUUUCUCUCAUCACCCCACCAAAGUGCCACGCUAGUAAGCCAGGCUAUACUCCUAACUUGGGAG